GAUACUAUUAUUUUAAAUUUGAUUUAUUUUUUGUUGUUUUUCAGUUAAAAAUGUUCGUAAAGACUUAAAGUUUGAACAGAAAACUCAUAUUUUCCUUUUCUAGGUGUGGUAAAAUUUUCAAAACAUUUAAGCCAUGAGCUAUAGACAUUUUAAUAUUGCAAGUUUUUUACGUAAUUUUUAUUCGGUAGGUGUUCUGUGGAUACAAUUUUUUAGAUCAAACGGAAAUAUUUGAAAAUUUACAAGAGGUAUAUUAUAAGUUGUACUUAGUGGUCAACAAGAAUGAAUCGAGUUUAAUGUAGUUUUUUUUUUUUUAAUGAGAAUUUUAAUUGUAAAAUUUGACGAAAAUCGUAAAUAUUAUGCCCUUUUAAAAUAUGUAUUACCAAACACCACUCGGAAUCCUUUUUUGCUAACAAUGAUUAAUCGUUGCAUACAGAUAUACAUUGAAUUCCCUUCUAUAUCCUACCUUUCCAACUUUUCACCUACAACAGUAGCCUAUCCAUCAUGCAAAUUAUGUCUAUCUUUUUUAUGUUAGCUAUAUUAUUAUAAAAUAGCCUAUAAACCUAUAAUCUGUUUCUUAUUAAAAAAAAAACCUCGUUAUAUUUUAAACAAAACUUAAAUACUUAUUAAGUAUACCUACUUGUCCAUACUAUUAGGUUAUACCUUUUACGUUAAUACCUUGUAUU